AUUUUGCCAUAUAUUUCCUUCUUUUUCUUUUUUUGGCCCGUCUCCGCUUUCAGGUUCCUUUUCUUCCCCAGGUUGUUCACCCCCAGCCCUAGCCGCCGCCGCAGCCGCCGUUUCGUAGCUCCGAUCUCCGAUUGCCGCAAGACACCAAGAUUUCAGGUAGUUGGGCUGUGAGACAGGCUAAAACGAAUGAUGGCUUCACGAGGUACCGGUGCUGUGCUUUCAAGAGCUGCUCGGAUGAGGCAAAAGCUGCAGUCUGCCUUGGAGGCCAGUGCCCUAGAAAUUGAAGACGUUUCUUACCAACAUGCCGGGCAUGCAGCAGUCAAGGACAAUGCAAACGAGACACAUUUCAACAUCAAGGUAGUUUCACCAAAAUUUGAGGGGCAAAACCUUGUGAAGCGUCACAGGAUGGUUUAUAAUCUUCUGUCUGAUGAGCUGAACUCAGGUCUCCAUGCUAUCUCCAUAGUUGCAAAGACCCCGAAAGAGUUUGGAUCGUGAUUGUCUAAUGUGUAAUAAGAACUGGCCGGUGUUCCAAAAUAAAUUGAUUAUAGCAUAACCAAUGUAACCAUGAAUUGAUUCCAAAACUAUGUCAUGGCAUGCUGCUCUUCUUAUGAAGACCCUGUAUUCAGAUUAGACUGGAGUGCAGAAUUUAUGUCAAUUAUUACUGAUGGACAUGUCAAUUAUUGUUAGAUGCGACUAUGCGAGGCAAAUUGCUUUUUCUC